rnacentral:rRNA from 1 species
AUUGAACGCUGGCGGCAGGCUUAACACAUGCAAGUCGAGCGGAGAUGAGGUGCUUGCACCUUAUCUUAGCGGCGGACGGGUGAGUAAUGCUUAGGAAUCUGCCUAUUAGUGGGGGACAACAUUCCGAAAGGAAUGCUAAUACCGCAUACGUCCUACGGGAGAAAGCAGGGGAUCUUCGGACCUGGCGCUAAUAGAUGAGCCUAAGUCGGAUUAGCAAGUGGGUGGGGUAAAGGCCUACCAAGGGGACGAUCUGUAGCGGGUCUGAGAGGAUGAUCCGCCACACUGGGACUGAGACACGGCCCAGACUCCUACGGGAGGCAGCAGUGGGGAAUAUUGGACAAUGGGGGGAACCCUGAUCCAGCCAUGCCGCGUGUGUGAAGAAGGCCUUAUGGUUGUAAAGCACUUUAAGCGAGGAGGAGGCUACUGAGACUAAUACUCUUGGAUAGUGGACGUUACUCGCAGAAUAAGCACCGGCUAACUCUGUGCCAGCCGCCGCAGUAAGAC